UCUAAAUUAAAGAAGACAUUUCUAGUCAGAAACAAGCAAAAAUAGUGAAUGCAGAGUAUCAGAAGCCCAAGGUACAGAAAUUAUGAGAAGUGUCGAAUGAUUUUAAGGAAAGAGUCGUAUUUAAAAAUGCAAGACCCUUUAGUGGAGGUCAAGCAAGUCAAUAUAGGUAGAAUACUCUGCAAAAUUAUGCGAGUGAGGGGAUGUCAAACAAUGGGUCAGGAAAUGCAUUGUUUUUCUGCAAAACAAAAGCUGAUUGCCAUUACAUAAGUCACUUUAGCAUCAUGAUAAAUUCAGAAAUAAACCAAAAAACAAGACACGCAAAAAUAAACAAAACAUUUAAUGAUAUUUCAGCAGAACUUUUUGUUGGGCUAGUUGGUGCAUAUUACUGAAGUACUAUAGCGCCAAACAGACGACACAAGAAGAAGAGACACGGACAUAAGCGCUCGUCCGUGUCUCUUCUUCUUGUGUCGUCUGUUUGGCGCUAUAGUACUUCAGCCAUUUAAUGAUGCUCUCUCCACACUGGGAUAAAUAAAAACAAACACAUCACAUCUAAUGUGGACAUAUCAGAUGCCUUGUGAAACACUAAAGGAACAAUUCAGUUUCGAGCUAUGGCACUUGCCGCAUAGAUGUGGGGGGGCCUUGCACCAAUAGUGAUAGUUACCACUGCAUUUAGAAAUUGAAAGCAUUCGUGCAGACAAGGAUGAUUCUUUAUAUUUUUGGCUACCACUUCAAAUGCCUCCACCAAGUGUUACAAUGCUGCAUGCAGCCAUACUAAGGAUCUCGCAACAACACCUGCAGGUAAAAAGCAGAAGCAGUCAAAGUGCUGGUGUGUUCUGGACACUAUGUUUGAAAACUUUUAGGCAAGAAGAGUGCAAGAAGCAGACAUAACUGCAUUUAUUUCCAUAAUUCCCCAUUUAAAUGGCCUUUUCUUUUUGCUUAGACAAUGCCUACGCCUAGCCACAGCAGCUCCCUCAUACAGACUCCACAAACCAAGAGGCCGUGGAGGCAAAUGCAGGCAGCCAGCACACCUCGAACAGCCACCUUGACUGCGGGUGUGUCACCCUAGUCGCCAAGGAAACAUUUGAGGGAAAGUGACAGGCAAUGUGAACAGCCACUUCUCCAUGUAAACAAUACUCUUUCUCUCGGAUGACUCCUACGCCUCACCACGCCAGCACACUUGUGCACAAAGAUGCCGCAGAGGCACGUGCAGGUCAGAGGCAAGAAGCAGUGGCACUGGUGUCGACAUUUACCCAAUUUCUUUUUCUUACACUGAGGCAGCCAGCACACCUCGAACAGCCACCUUGACUGCGGGUGUGUUAGUUGAUUCCUGUUGUACAUAUGCUCAUAAUAAACUUCAGUAAACUUGAACUUCAUAAUAAACUUGAAGGCAAAUGGGA